CCCCCUAUUUCAGUUUGGCGCCCGCUCAGUUCUAGUCUAUCCCCCUUCAUUUUUAGGGUUUUGAAAAGCUCUUCCGCUUCACUUUCAACUCACUCUUUCUCUCUCUCUCUCUGUCAGUUUCUCGAGAAAAAAAGUGUAAUUUCGCCGGAAAAAAUGCCGCCGAUAAACUUGACGGAAGGCGCGAUAGCGAUUCUAACGAACCGCGAAGCACAUGCGGAGGAUUUUAAACCGGUGUUACAAAUCACAGAUAUUCGGUUAGUGAACACUCAGAAUCAGAAUAACAAUAACGAACGGUACCGGAUCCUUUUAUCGGACGGGGAGUUUCUUCAGCAAGGGAUGUUAGCUACGCAAAAAAACGAUCUUAUUCGGUCUCAACAGAUUCAAAAAGGAUCUAUUAUUCAGAUGAAUCAGUUCGUUUGUAAUAACAUCCAAAAUCGAAUGAUCAUCAUUGUCAUUGAAUUAGAUAUUUUACUGGAGACAUGUGAUACCAUUGGAGAACCAAAGCAUUAUCUCCCAAAUGGUAUUAGUCCUUCAGUGCCAGGGCCAGCUGCCCCACUUCAGCCUUCCACCAAUCAAUUAGGUGGUUUAAGUGGCAGCCCUCAAUCCUUUACUGCUGUUUCAGCUACUUCAAGCUCAGCUCCAAGAUCAAAUAUGCCUGGUGGGAUGCGAUCUCCCGAGUCAACCCGUAGCAUUGGUUAUAAUACUUCCUCUGCUGGUAAUAUUGACUCUGAAAGAUAUAGUUCAACAAGUGCACCCCUUUACCCCAAAGCAGAAUCUGGUCCAGCGAUUUCACGGGCUCCGAUGAAUAAUUAUGUGCGGCCACCUCAGCCUUCUUAUCAGCAGCAUCCUCAGUCUUCUUAUCAGCAGCCACCACCGUUGUACUCAAACAGAGGACCUAUAGCCAAGAACGAAGCACCGCCGAGGAUUGUUCCAAUUGCUGCUCUCAAUCCAUAUCAGGGUCGAUGGACUAUCAAGGCCAGGGUUACUGCUAAGGCAGAACUCAGACACUACAACAAUCAAAGGGGUGAUGGAAAAGUAUUCUCUUUUGAUCUUCUUGAUUCUGAUGGAGGAGAAAUAAGAGUAACAUGCUUUAACUCUGUAGCUGACCAAUUUUACCACCAGAUUGAGCCAGGUAGAGUGUAUUUGAUUUCCAAGGGUAGCUUGAGACCAGCUCAGAAAUCUUACAAUCACCUUCCAAAUGACCAUGAAAUUAUGCUCGAGAGCACAUCAGUGGUUCAACCUUGUUUUGAGGAUGACAGGACUAUUCCUCAACAACAAUUUCAUUUUCGGCCAAUCAGUGAUAUUGAGGCCUUGGAGAACAAUAGUGUGGUAGAUGUGAUUGGUGUGGUGUCUUCAAUAAGUCCAUCUAGCUCAAUAAUGAGGAAAAAUGGUACAGAAACUCAGAAAAGAGUUCUCCAGCUGAAGGACAUGUCUGGCAAAAGUGUUGAAUUAACUUUGUGGGGAAAUUUCUGCAAUGCAGAAGGUCAAACACUUCAAAGUAUGUGUGAUUCUGGAGCUUCCCCUGUUUUGGCAGUCAAAGCUGGUAGAGUAAAUGAUUUUAAUGGCAAAUCUGUAGGUACUAUAUCUACAAGCAAGUUGUUUACAGAACCGGAUUUUCCUGAAGCUCUAAAACUGAAGGCAUGGUUCGAGAGGGAGGGAAAGAACAUGCCAUCAGUAUCUCUUUCCCGAGAAGUGAGCAGCAUUGGUCGGACAGAUGUGCGAAAAACUAUAUCUCAAAUCAAAGAUGAACGAUUGGGCACUUCCGAGAAGCCAGAUUGGAUCACAAUAAGUGCCACUGUUACAUUUAUAAAGGGUGAGAACUUUUGCUAUCCUGCCUGUCCCCUCAUGAUAGGAGAUCGACAGUGCAACAAAAAAGUGACAAAUAAUGGGGAUGGGAAAUGGCGGUGUGACAGGUGUGAUCAGACUGUUGAUGAAUGCGAAUAUAGGUACAUUCUUCAGUUCCAGAUUCAGGACCAUACUGGCUUAACCUGGGUUACUGCAUUUCAGGAAUGUGGUGACCAGAUCAUGGGUGUGUCUGCAAAAGAACUGUAUUUCCUAAAAUAUGAGGGGCAGGAUGAUGAUAGAUUUACAGAUAUCAUGCGUAAUGUCUUAUUUAACAAAUUUAUCUUCAAAUUGAAAGUGAAAGAAGAGAUGUUUAGCGAUGAACAGCGCGUUAAGUCAACAGUGGUCAAAGCAGAGAAGCUGAACUUCCAAUCAGAGAUCCGGUUUCUGUUGGAUUUGAUAGACAAGAACAAUGGGCAGGAAUCCAGUACUCUGCCUCCUAAGACAGAUAAUGCAACUCCAACUUCAGUGUAUAAUAAUGCUGGAUUUGGGAGUAGAACCAUAGAACCGAUGAAUCCUGUUGCAAAUUAUGGUGGCAGCAAUAGCAGUAUCAGCAGAGAAAGUGGACUGCAGGGAAAUCAGCAAGGUCAAUACGGAAAUCAGUUUACUGGCUCGCAGUUUGCUCCACCUGGUUCUACAGGCAUGUAUAUGAGCUGUAAUAGUUGUGGUGGAACAGGCCAUAGUGCUUCAAACUGUCCAAGCAUCAUGAGUGGUCAGGGCCAGGCAUAUGGAGGUGGCUUUGGCAAUAGGGUAACUUCAGGAAUGAGCAGUGAUGGUGCUUCUGGUGAGUGCUAUAAAUGCCAUCAGUUUGGACAUUGGGCAAGAGAUUGCCCAGGUGUAAGCAAUGCACCCCCUGCCAAUAACAUGACACCUGCUUCAGGAAUGAGCAGUGGUGGUGCUUCCAGUGAGUGUUAUAAAUGCCAUCAGUUUGGACAUUGGGCAAGAGAUUGCCCAGGUGUAAGCAGUGCACCUGCUGCCAAUAACAUGACUCCUGGAAGAUAUGGGAAUCCUCCAAGGCAACGUGUUGGUGGAUUUUGAUCAACCUUUGAGCAUAUAAAGUUGUCCUGUGCAGGUAGAUGCCUUCUCUUAGUGACUACUUGGGGCUGAAAUUUUGCGCUAGUGUUCCUGGAUGCCUGGGCUUAAAGUUGUCCUCAGUUUUGAGGAGCGACAUGUCAUUGCUCUUCCCUGUAAAUUAUUUCCUGUUUAAGUUUUUUUUGAUCUCUUUUAUUGUUCUUUUUAGGUAAUCUGUCUGUGGUUUCGUCCUUUUAAGAGCAAAAUUUCUGUGUUAUAGUGUAGACUGCUAUAUUAAUGUUACUUAUUUGUCUUUUUUCAUCUGUGAUGUGUCAUCUGUAUUCAUGUCUUGAAUACCUAAUAAUUUGGGUAAUAAGCUUCA